rnacentral:tRNA from 1 species
AAAAAGCUAGUUAAUAUAUAACAUUAGCUUGUCAAGCUAAAAUUACUCACAGUGCUUUUUA